GGGAAUUUCGAUUAGAGUUUGAUCAUGGCUCAGAGUGAACGCUGGCGGCGUGCUUAACACAUGCAAGUCGAACGAGAACGGAUUAUAGCUUGCUAUAAUUGUCAGCUAAGUGGCGCACGGGUGAGUAAUAUAUAGUUAAUCUGCCCCAAAGAGAGGGAUAACGUUUGGAAACGGACGCUAAUACCUCAUAUGCCUUUAAAACAUAAGUUUGCAAGGGAAAUAUUUAUAGCUUUGGGAUGAGACUGUACAGUAUCAGUUAGUUGGUGAGGUAAUGGCUCACCAAGACAAUGACACUUAACUGGUUUGAGAGGAUGAUCAGUCACACUGGAACUGAGACACGGUCCAGACUCCUACGGGAGGCAGCAGUGGGGAAUAUUGCACAAUGGACGAAAGUCUGAUGCAGCAACGCCGCGUGGAGGAUGACACUUUUCGGAGCGUAAACUCCUUUUAUAUGUCAAGAAA
rnacentral:rRNA from 1 species